rfam:Pantoea dispersa strain SA5 contig_3, whole genome shotgun sequence.
GUGAACCAUCGUGAUGUGGUUAUUUCAAUCGGUAAGGUAUUGAUUGAACAGGGCAAUGUUUUCAUUGCCCUUUAUUUUGU